rnacentral:rRNA from 1 species
UCUUGGUCAUUUAGAGGAAGUAAAAGUCGUAACAAGGUCUCCGUAGGUGAACCUGCGGAGGGAUCAUUACAGAGUUCAUGCCCUCCGGGUAGAUCUCCCACCCAUUGCUAUAACUACUCUCGUUGCUUUGGCGGGCCGCCGGGCCCUGCCCGGCCGCCGGCCCCGGCUGGCGCGUGCCCGCCAGAGACCUCACAGACUCUGAAUGUUAGUGUCGUCCGAGUAACUAUACAAUCGUUAAAACUUUCAACAACGGAUCUCUUGGUUCUGGCAUCGAUGAAGAACGCAGCGAAAUGCGAUAAGUAAUGCGAAUUGCAGAAUUCAGUGAGUCAUCGAAUCUUUGAACGCACAUUGCGCCCUGUGGUAUUCCGCAGGGCAUGCCUGUUCGAGCGUCAUUUCAACCCUCAAGCCUCGCUUGGUGUUGGGCCCUGCCCGCCGCGGCCGGCCCUAAAGAUAGUGGCGGCGCCGCCUGGCCCUCAGCGUAGUACAGCUCUCGCUCCAGGGUCCGGCGGCAGCCUGCCAGAACCCCCCAACUCUGUGGU